UAGCACUAAGGAAACAAAGCUUCCAUGAAUCAGUCUGGACCCAGGAUCCACAAUACAAAAUGCCAAGUCGGAAGUAUUUGACAGAAGGCCAUGUCAGCAUUGCAUACAGAAAUGAAAGCAAAGGUCGGUUGGUUGGACAUUGAAGGAAGAUACAAUAAACAUUGUAUCGUGAGAUUCUCAAUGCUUUUUGUGACAAAUAUAGCUAUACUGUAUUGCAGUAUAUACUGUACAUGCAGUAAAUAAAGUAUUCCUUUUCUUUGGAUUUGUCAACUACAAUUAAUACAUUUUGUAUUAGUACUAUCUCCUCUUUAAGCUGCAAAGCUACGUGUUAAAGCACAUUUCCUCUUGCACCAAAGUUAUGAACAUAUGAAGACUUGCUUCAAGUUAGUGAUUUGGAUGGUAAUGCUCUUUUUCUGUUGUAAUUAAAGCAUUCCUUUGAUUCUGUAUUUGUUGUAAAAAAAAAUCCACAAAUAAAAUAAAUGUUGGUUAAAAA